CCUUCCAUAGCUCAGUUGGUAGAGCGGAGGACUGUAGAUCCUUAGGUCGCUGGUUCGAAUCCGGCUCCAAGGA
rnacentral:tRNA from 1 species